AGUGUAGGCGGUUUGAAAAGUCGGGUGUGAAAUCCCAGGGCCCAACCCUGGAACUGCAUCCGAUACUGUCAGGCUAGAGUCCCGGAGAGGGUGGCGGAAUUCCCGGUGUAGGGGUGAAAUCCGUAGAUAUCGGGAGGAACACCAGUGGCGAAGGCGGCCACCUGGACGGUGACUGACGCUGAGACUCGAAAGUGUGGGUAGCAAACAGGAUUAGAUACCCUGGUAGUCC
rnacentral:rRNA from 1 species